GCAGAGGCUUGCGCUCAGGCUUUCGGAUACGGCGGAAGGUACCCCGGCGUCAUCACACAUCCCGCGGAUGUGAAAUCCGUUACGGAUUUAGCGCACUGAGCGAUCCACACGGCGCAAGC
rnacentral:sRNA from 1 species